AUUAGAGAGUAAAGCAGAUAAGUUGAACAAACUAAAAAUUAGUGAGAUCAAUACUAUAAAAUACAAAUGAUGUUAUUUAAAUAUUAUGGAAUCCAGUAGUGAUAAAAAAAUACAUAAAGACAGUGCAAGUUUUCUGAAAAACUUCUUAGAAAUAAAGAGGCCUGUGAAACAACAGAGUACUACUUUACCAAAAUUGAUCAGCAAUAUGGAGAAAGAUAAUGACAAAACCAACAAGGAUAGAUUAUUUGUAAGACACCAAAGUUAUAGAAGAACUACAAGAAAAAAUAAAUAUAAAAAAGAUACAGCUAAAACAUUCACACAGAAACAUUCAGAUGAAGCAGAAUAUUCUGUUAAAUCUCUGUGUCAACAGUUUGAAGACUCGCAUGUCGCAAUACAAAAUAGCAGCUCAUCAUCCAGUGCAACUACAAGGGAAGCUAGCUCUAGUGAUAAAAUAAUAAUCAACACAGAAAUGCUUCUAAGCUCUCUUAGAGAUGCUAAUAAAAAUGUUGAAGUGAUAAAGAGAACUCGUGAUAACAAUAAAAACCAAGAAAAUCACACGAAAACGAAGAGCUUUGUAGAAGCCGAAAAUGAAGAAGAAACAGAAAAAUUGAGGCAAAGUUUCAUACUCGAAAUGGAUUUGGAAAUGGCUAAGAUGAAAGAAGAUGGAUUUAUAGAUUAUACUGAAACAAUAGAUAUUUCCACUUCAUCAGAAAAUAGUAUUAAUAACGAUGGAAUUGACAAAUAUUUAGUACACAGAGUUUUAGAUUGUAAUGAUGAACAAAGAAAUAUAGUUCAGAGGCACGGCCAUACUAAUGAUUGUGAUACAAUUAUUAAUGAAAAUAAAAUCAAAUUAGAUGGUCAAAUCGAUUUCAAGUGUGAAGAAGCAAUAAAUAAAAAGGCAAGAGAAUUCGAGAAAUUCAUCAGUAAAACAGAAGAAUUCAAUGAAAGUUUCAGUGAUGAGAUAGAAAACGACAUGGUUAUUGUUGAAGCGUACAAUGACGAUGGCAAAGAAUUGAUUGAAGUGCAGGUAACGAUAGAGAGAAAAGUAGUGACCAUUGGAAAAGAAAGCUUACAAGAUGUUCUUAAACAUUCGAAAAAUUCUGAUAUGAUAUUUUUUAAAGAAGAUGGCAAUACGUUCAACUUGAUGAAGAAUAAUAUAGAACCUAAUGUAGACGAUAACAUAAUACAUGAAGAUUUAUGCAUAUUGCCAUCGACUAGCACAAAAAAUGGUGUAUAUGAGUACAUUGAAAUUCCUAAUAAAGAUAACCAUGAGCUACCGUUUUUAAUGUUUGCUCCAUUAUCAAAUAGAUCAACAAUAUACUCGACUACAUCUCAAGAAAGCUCAAUUUUUGAUGAAGAUGAUGAAGGAAUUUCUUUGGGAAGAAACAAAGAUAAUCAAGAGGAGCUUUACAGUAAUGUGAGAAGGGAAACAUUUUGUGACAAUAAGGGAAUUGUGAGGAUUGAAAGAGUUGGAGUACCUGAUAAUUCACUAUUUGUGAAAGGAAAUAAUUCUGCAACUGUCAGCAGAAGUAAUUCAACAACUUCCUGUAAAAAGUUAGAAUGUAUAGUUGAAGAAAUUCUAUCAACGGAGAAAAAAUAUGUUGAGGAUCUGGCCAAAGUAGUGAAGUUAUAUAAACCAUUUAUUGAACGACAUGUACCUCCACACUUGGAACAUUAUCAAGGUUAUCUUUUUGGAAAUCUUGAAAAAAUAUAUAGAAGGCAACGGAAAUUCUUGCAAGCAAUGGAAAAGAGUGAUUCAAAUGUAGAUCAAAUUAUUCAUUGUUUCUUAGAUCAUGAAUUUCUCUUCGAAAUGUAUCCUCAUUAUUUCAGAAAUAAACCACGAGCAGACAAUUUACUGAAAGAGUUUAAUCCAAUUAUAAAGGAAAUGCAAGAAACCUUUGAGGAACGAUUGGAUUUCUCAGCUUAUUUAUUGACUCCAGUUCAAAGACUAGGAAGAUAUAUUUUAUUCUUGGAGAAUAUAGAAAAACAAUUGAAAAAAUUGAAUUUACCUGUAGAACAUGCUCAGAGUGCCAUAGCUAUACUCAAAGAUGAAAUGUCGAAAGGAAACGACUCUGUGGCGAUUGAGUCUAUUGAAAACAGUCCUAUCAGUAAAAUGGAUUACGGAUCAUUCAAAAUGAGAGAAAAAUUCAGCAUUAACAAGCCUAGAAAAGUGGAUGCUAUGGUUUUUUUAUUUUCCCAUGUGGUAGUUUUUACAACUUGUGAUUCGACUAAAUUAGAAACAUUUUAUUAUUACGAUAGCAUAAAAAUGAAUGACCUACGGAUAGCCACUUUUGAUGAUCUCACUAUCCACUUAACAGAUUUCACCAAAAGUAAGAAGAAACAAAAUUCAUCGAAAUAUACAUAUGUAUUAGAGACAAAAACAGAAAAAGUUUGGAAAACGUGGACGGAAGCAAUCGAAAAAAUGUUAUGGGAUCAAUUGGUUAAAGUAAAAGAGAACUCAAUAUCCCAAUAUACUCCUAGAAAACAGAAAAAUGUUGAAAAAGCUAGAACAAGAUCUGUAGGUAAGACCCAUCUCAGUUUCAUUCGAGGAAUCAACUUCUGAAUUUUGUCGUAUGAAUAUAGAAACAAAGAGGAAUUCAAUAAGUGAAUCCACCGAACCACCGAACAUAUUUGAACUGUGCUAUUUACACGUUCUAGUUCUGAAGAAAAAUAUGAGUCACCACUUUUAGAGAAAAGAAAAAACAAAAACAUAUGGAUAAAAUUAAGAUCCAAUGUGGCCAAGGUCAAAGGAAGGCUACCGAAAAGCGUGAAGGAGUCUACUUAUUGUUAUUACAAAGCAUACAAGAAAGACUUUGUAUAUGGUAAGUCGGCAAUUGAAAAAGACACAAAUGAUAAAAAACAAAUUUCACCAGCAAACGCUAACUGAAAUGCCGACAUUAGAACAGAGAAGCACCUUGCAGAAAAAAGUCAAGCAACCAGAAAUUGGAUUAGCAGAUUUUACAGUAGAACCAUGGUGAGAUAGCUAUAAAUAUUACUUGUGGGAGAACUAAUACCAUCACAAUUGCGAAUAGCGUAACAGGAACAUGAUGUUUUGAAAAAGUUUAUUGUAGAAAACACAUUUUUCUUUUAUUGUUUAUGAAUCGACCAAUAGGUGAGACAUCAACAUUUACUUAUGGUUGCUAGGUACCUUCAGCAACCACCGAAGCCCUCUAUAAUAACAUCUUAGGGCAUAACACUCCAUUUAAAGAUAAAAUUAUAUUUUUGCGGCUGAUGAAGCAAGUGUAAUGAUAAGGGUUCACCAUUCCCUAUUACUUUUGUUGAAGUAUGAUAUUCGAGAUCUCUGUUUGAUGAGGUGGAUCAGUGUUUUAUUGUAAUUGAGGUGACUCUGGGGAUUAUGUUGUGCCAAAUUAACAUUAGUUAGGACUUGAUCAAUCUAUUAUUUAUUUUAUUUUGUGAUGAUUAUAUAAUUUAUAUUUAUUUGGAAUACGUUAAUAUGCUAUGAUUAUUUUACUUUCAUGAAAAUUGAAUUAUGUAUUUUAUCUAAUCUAGUUUUUACUAAGGCCUUUAUUGAUACAAGUAGAACAAUUAUUAUUUGUAUGAUUUCAAAUCGUCUUGAUUUUAGGUGUCUUCUGUUAUAAACUUGGUUUUUUAAUAAUUUUUGUAAAAAUAGAUAAAAAUUCUGACGUUUCGACUACUUUCAGUCUUUAUCAAAUGGCCAUUUUGUGAAUAAAGUAGUCUUGUAUAAAUUCGUAAA